rnacentral:snRNA from 1 species
AUCGCUUCUCGGCCUUUUGGCUAAGAUCAAGUGUAAUAUCCCUAAAGCUACAGCUUUUUCUAUCUUUUGAGAUAUCAACCCAA